GACGAACGCUGGCGGCGUGCCUAAUACAUGCAAGUAGAACGCUGAAGGAGGAGCUUGCUUCUCUGGAUGAGUUGCGAACGGGUGAGUAACGCGUAGGUAACCUGCCUGGUAGCGGGGGAUAACUAUUGGAAACGAUAGCUAAUACCGCAUAAGAGUAGAUGUUGCAUGACAUUUGCUUAAAAGGUGCAAUUGCAUCACUACCAGAUGGACCUGCGUUGUAUUAGCUAGUUGGUGGGGUAACGGCUUACCAAGGCGACGAUACAUAGCCGACCUGAGAGGGGGAUCGGCCAAACUGGGACUGAGACACGGCCCAGGCUCCUACGGGAGGCAGCAGUAGGGAAUCUUCGGCAAUGGACGGAAGUCUGACCGAGCAACGCCGCGUGAGUGAAGAAGGGUUUCGGAUCGUAAAGCUCUGUUGUAAGAGAAGAACGAGUGUGAGAGUGGAAAGUUCACACUGUGACGGUAGCUUACCAGAAAGGGACGGCUAACUACGUG
rnacentral:rRNA from 1 species